CUUCAUGCAACCCUACAUUCGGCCAAAAAUUGACACAAAAUACUCGAGGGUUUCGCUAAGGAGACGAGUGACACGCGGCGCGGCUGCUACCAAACGCGUCCGAUUGGUUAGCGACGACAGCAGCUCCAGUGCGGAGGAAUCCGUUAGCGUGGACAAAACGGCACUGCCAGACACUGUCGCCGACAACUGCCCGCUGGAUGUGGACGAGUUUGACCGGAUGUGGCAAGGCGAGUCUGGACGUGCAGCCACAGCAUCACUAGCGUCACCGGCCAUGGAUUCUGCGCUAGUGCUGGAUCCCGCAACGAGCAUGGAGAGCAAUUAUUCUGCAUUUUUUAACACUCUGAAAGGCAUGAUGGUCUAUUUGACACCGGAACAACGCAUCGGCGUGCAGAAACGCUUGAUCAAAGCCUUGGCGGAAUUCACAGCGGACGUCAUGUAACAGUCGCGC